rnacentral:rRNA from 1 species
AUUGAACGCUGGCGGCAGGCCUAACACAUGCAAGUCGGACGGUAGCACAGAGAGCUUGCUCUCGGGUGACGAGUGGCGGACGGGUGAGUAAUGUCUGGGGAUCUGCCCGAUAGAGGGGGAUAACCACUGGAAACGGUGGCUAAUACCGCAUAACGUCGCAAGACCAAAGAGGGGGACCUUCGGGCCUCUCACUAUCGGAUGAACCCAGAUGGGAUUAGCUAGUAGGCGGGGUAAUGGCCCACCUAGGCGACGAUCCCUAGCUGGUCUGAGAGGAUGACCAGCCACACUGGAACUGAGACACGGUCCAGACUCCUACGGGAGGCAGCAGUGGGGAAUAUUGCACAAUGGGCGCAAGCCUGAUGCAGCCAUGCCGCGUGUAUGAAGAAGGCCUUCGGGUUGUAAAGUACUUUCAGCGGGGAGGAAGGCGAUGCGGUUAAUAACCGUGUCGAUUGACGUUACCCGCAGAAGAAGCACCGGCUAACUCCGUGCCAGCAGCCGCAGUAA